rnacentral:rRNA from 1 species
AUGCUACGGACACGAAUAUCAUUUCGACGUAGCGUGGCGCCUGAAGGCCACGACUUACAGUAUGCUGAUGCUAGAGCGGAUGCGUCUGGGUGCAAAAAUUACCAAGGCGAGGAUGUUGCGGCUAUCACGUCCCCGUCAGAAAGUAUCCGAGGCGUCCUAGAAACAGGAGUGCUCGGUCUCCCAGAGUGCCAAGUUGAAAGGAUUACCCCUGGAUGCGCACGUGCGCACAACCGGAACUGGGAAGGAGGCCGGCCGAAGAGAAUUGGCAGCAGGCCAGUUGAAGCCAACCCAGGGAUGCUCGUAGGCUGUAGCAGCCCAGCUCACGUUGGAGCUGGAGGUUCAACUCCACGUGCUUGUCUUGUGAGCACAGGAGCCACACGUGGUGCACUUGGGGAUGGAUUAGCAAUUUUGUACGCAGGAGAUGUUUCUUUGGUACCUGUGUCACCUUUGACAGUACUGGAGGAGAGGACAACAUCACCUACACCUAUGCAUCUCGUACUGGAGUUACACCCGUAUCUCGAGAAAAAAAUUCGGAUGCUUCACCCUGUAAAGGAGAAAAUGAGUGGGCGACGGUGUCUAGUAAACGCCGAGGAACCGGCGGAUUUUGAGGACGCGAAUAGAAAUGAGUGUUGGCGUCAUGCUAUGGAAAAGAGUUGA